UCCCAAAUAGUCUAUCGGUUAGGAUAUUCCGCUUUCAUCUCAAAGGUCGAGAUCCGGAAAGGGCCGAGUUCGAUUCUCGGUUUGGGAA
rnacentral:tRNA from 1 species